UACGAAGGGGGCUAGCGUUGCUCGGAAUGACUGGGCGUAAAGGGCGCGUAGGCGGCUAUCCAAGUCAGUGGUGAAAGCCCGGAGCUCAACUCCGGAACUGCCAUUGAAACUGUUUAGCUUGAGGAUGAGAGAGGUGAGUGGAAUUCCCAGUGUAGAGGUGAAAUUCGUAGAUAUUGGGAAGAACACCGGUGGCGAAGGCGGCUCACUGGCUCAUUACUGACGCUCAGGCGCGAUAGCGUGGGGAGCAAACAGG
rnacentral:rRNA from 1 species